rnacentral:lncRNA from 1 species
AUGUGGUGCAGCGAGGUUUUGUCCUUUCCAGUAUUUUUCCUGACCCUGCUGGUGUCAGUUCCACCUCAGAGCCUCUCUCCCUCUCCCCUUCUCUGUUCCCCUUCAGGAACCAGGACAUUCUGGGAAACUCCUCAGUGUGAUUUGCACCACACUUGUGUCACAGCUGGCUUGGACCCUUUGGAACUGGAAAUGAGGCUUGUUUCAGGCAGUGGCUCUAAAAAUCAUUCUGAGAGUCAGACAGUCCCAGGCAGAACUAACCCCUUGUGAACCCAGUGAAACAGAGAAGCACAGAAACUCCCAAGCAUGUGAGCAUUUACAGGAUCCUCUUUGACUGCACUUCCCCAAAUGUUGUUUUGCAAGGAAAUUGGAAUCAAUCUGCCAUGAUCUAAUCCCAGGAAAGUGAAAGGACAUGGAUUAUAAACAGGGAGUCAAUCACUGCAGAUGAUCACUGUGAUUCUGACGUUGGACAGAGACACAGAACAUUUGGCAAACUUCUUUUGGAUCCUUUCCUUUUCAUUCUGGAGCUGCUAUGGAACAGAGAAACCUUCCCAGACAAACAAAUCCCUUCCAUGGCCAGGGAGAUCCCAACACCCAGAGCCUGGAAUAAACAUGGGCAUUAAAUAAUCCCUGUUAAUUACCUGAAAUCACCUCGUGAAACUGGAACAAAUGCAUGUGGGAUCAUGCUCAGGCCUGUUGAAAAACAAACAGCAAUUAAAGCAGCCCUUUGGAGCUGAGCUGUGAGGGCAAUAUUUGCUUUUUGCAGUGCUUGAUGGCUGUCACAGGGGAGCUCAGCUGGGAUCUCUGGUUGUUGGACAGCUCUUGCAGCAGUUCUGCCUCUCCAGAUUUUUGGGCAGAUCCCUAAAAGAUGGGAAUGUGAAAUGAAGCCUCUGAGGCAGAUCAUGGAUGUGGAGAUACAACCCCUCACCCCACAAAACUUUCAUUUGUUUGAGGCUAACAUUUACUUACCUGAAAGCAAUAAAAAACCCCUUGUAAAGGUGACUUUUUGACACUGAUUCUGUAAUUAAAUAAAAAAAGAUUCAGUGCAUGUUCCUGGGAAAUGAAGGUUGCAACAGCACAAUAACUUGGGAGGUGUUUGGUUGCACAAUGUUUGGAGAAGACAUUAAAUAUUUGCACAACCAGGGGGUGAUGGCUCAGGGAUGUUUGAAAUAAGGUGAAGACAGGAGAGGGUUUCUCACCAAAAUUCCUCAGCAUUGUCUCACAGCCACCCCUCUCUGCCAGGUGGCAGUGGCCCCUCAGAGAGGAAGCAAUUUUCCAUGUCCUGCUCACUGGAUCCUCCUCUCUGCCCCCUCUCUGUGCCCUUUUCCAGGAGCUGGGGAUGCUGAGCCCUGAGGUUCCUCCCAUCCAAACCCCAAAGGGACAGAAAGCCCUGUGGGGACAGCCCUGCACUGCCACUGCUCUGGGCACACCUCAAAGGUGAUCCCAACAUCAUUUAUUUCAUCAUUUUUAACAUCUCUUAGACAAAACACAAAAAUACUCCUCACUGAGACCUUCCUUGAGUAGCUGGGGAUGAUAUUUAGAGUGAAAAACAGGUAGAAUUUAUUGUUAAUUCUAUGAAGAAUUUGUGUUGCAGGGAGAUUAAUUAACUUAAAUGUAGUGUUUUAUCUUCACACAUGAAUUUUGCACUUCGGUUUUAUGUACUUAGUUGCAUAGUUAUAGCCUGUAUUUAUGUCAGUAGAUGCAUAAAUUACUCAUGGAAUUAUUAAUUGAACUUGAUGAUGUUGGAGAUCUUUUCCAGCCUUAAUGAUUCUGGGAUUCUAUUUCCCCAUUUUCAGCUCACCCUGUGAAAUGUGUGAUGACAAUUUGCAGGUUUUUCAUUUUACUCUUCUGCAGGGUUUCCAGUAACCAGGUGAUUGAAGCAGACUGAGCACCCUGACAGCAGGAGAGGCAGGUUAAUCUUCAGUAAUGCCUACAGUUAUUUCAAAGAACAAAUCAAAAUCCACCUGGUGAUCUGUUUGUAUUUCAAAGUUCAUGUCUGGUUCCUGUAGGCACCUCUUGGACUUAAAAAAUAACUAGGAUUGCAUUUUAAUCUGAGUAUUAGAUGGACAUGGAAUUAAAACAUCAGGGCAGCCAUGUCCAGUUCUUUAAGUAAUUAAUGUAUAUAAAAUCUUAUUUCUAUGCUGAUAAAUGGUUUGGUUCUCUCAUCUCUCAUUUGUCAGUGAAUUAUCUCACAAUAAUCUCAUUUUCUAGGUUGUGAUCAGCAAGAACUGCUCCUUUGUUCUUUUUUGCAUCACUGUGUGUUCCCAGAACUUGUGAUAAAAUGAUCUUUUUUCCCCUGGAUUAGU